rnacentral:rRNA from 1 species
AGUGAACGCUGGCGGUAGGCCUAACACAUGCAAGUCGAACGGCAGCACAGUAAGAGCUUGCUCUUACGGGUGGCGAGUGGCGGACGGGUGAGGAAUACAUCGGAAUCUACUUUUUCGUGGGGGAUAACGUAGGGAAACUUACGCUAAUACCGCAUACGACCUACGGGUGAAAGCAGGGGAUCUUCGGACCUUGCGCGAUUGAAUGAGCCGAUGUCGGAUUAGCUAGUUGGCGGGGUAAAGGCCCACCAAGGCGACGAUCCGUAGCUGGUCUGAGAGGAUGAGAGGCACACUGGGACAUGGGAACCGGGCCGAGUCCUGCGGGGGGGCACAGGGGGGAAUAUUGGGCAAUGGGGGCAAGCCUGAUCCAGCCCUACCGCGUGGGUGAAGAAGGCCUUCGGGUUGUAAAGCCCUUUUGUUGGGAAAGAAAAGCAGCAGGUUAAUACCCCGCUGUUCUGACGGUACCCAAAGAAUAAGCACCGGCUAACUUCGUG